UACGGAGGGGGCUAGCGUUGUUCGGAAUUACUGGGCGUAAAGCGCGCGUAGGCGGACCUGCAAGUCGGGGGUGAAAGCCCGAGGCUCAACCUCGGAACUGCCUUCGAUACUGCGGGUCUCGAGUCCGGGAGAGGUGAGUGGAAUUCCUAGUGUAGAGGUGAAAUUCGUAGAUAUUAGGAAGAACACCAAUGGCGAAGGCAGCUCGCUGGGACGGUACUGACGCUGAGACGCGAAAGCGUGGGGAGCAAACAGG
rnacentral:rRNA from 1 species